rnacentral:rRNA from 1 species
AUUGAACGCUGGCGGCAGGCCUAACACAUGCAAGUCGAGCGGAUGAAGGGAGCUUGCUCCUGGAGUCAGCGGCGGACGGGUGAGUAAUGCCUAGGAAUCUGCCUGGUAGGGGUGGAGAACGUCCGGAAAAGGGCGCUAAUACCGCAUACGUCCUGAGGGAGAAAGUGGGGGAUCUUCGGACCUCACGCUAUCAGAUGAGCCUAGGUCGGAUUAGCUAGUUGGUGGGGUAAAGGCCUACCAAGGCGACGAUCCGUAACUGGUCUGAGAGGAUGAUCAGUCACACUGGAACUGAGACACGGUCCAGACUACUACGGGAGGCAGCAGUGGGGAAUAUUGGACAAUGGGCGAAAGCCUGAUCCAGCCAUGCCGCGUGUGUGAAGAAGGUCUUCGGAUUGUAAAGCACUUUAAGUUGGGAGGAAGGGCAGUAAGUUAAUACCUUGCUGUUUUGACGUUACCAACAGAAUAAGCACCGGCUAACUUCGUG